GUUUUGGUCACCCGGAAGGGUGUGAAAAGGGAAGCCGGUGAGAGUCCGGCGCAGUCCCGCUGCUGUAUGCUCGAGAGUUGAGGCCCAAUCUGUUACGUCACUGUGCGACGCCAUAGUUGCAUGGGAAGACAGGGCUGAGCGAGUAAGCCAGAAGACCUGCCAAAUCGAU
rnacentral:ncRNA from 1 species